AUGAACGCUAGCUACAGGCUUAACACAUGCAAGUCGCAGGGUAACAUGAGGAAAGCUUGCUUUCCUUGAUGACGACUGGCGCACGGGUGAGUAACGCGUAUCCAACCUUCCCAUAACUACGGGAUAACCCGUUGAAAGACGGCCUAAUACCGUAUGAUAUCGUUUGCUGACAUCAAAUAACGAUUAAAGGUUUAGCGGUUAUGGAUGGGGAUGCGUCUGAUUAGCUUGUUGGCGGGGUAACGGCCCACCAAGGCGACGAUCAGUAGGGGUUCUGAGAGGAAGGUCCCCCACAUUGGAACUGAGACACGGUCCAAACUCCUACGGGAGGCAGCAGUGAGGAAUAUUGGUCAAUGGGCGAGAGCCUGAACCAGCCAAGUAGCGUGCAGGAUGACGGCCCUAUGGGUUGUAAACUGCUUUUAUGUGGGGAUAAAGUGCGUGACGUGUCAUGCAUUGCAGGUACCACAUGAAUAAGGACCGGCUAAUUCCGUG
rnacentral:rRNA from 1 species